rnacentral:misc_RNA from 1 species
UCACCGCCUCUUUUCCUCUGGGUACAUAUGCCCCUCUUCUCUUCAUUUUUACUCGCUCUUCUGAAGUCCUUAAACCCUUUCAAGGUUUUCUCCAAUCUCCAUUUCCACCGAUACCUUCUCCAUAUUCCCUGAUCCACUGAAAAUCCAAGAUAUUUUUAAAAGCUUUCGCAUGCUUCUCUUAGCUAAAGAUGUGUGGUGGAGCUAUUAUAGCUGACUUAAUCCCUCGCAACCGUGGCCGCUACAUCGCCGCUUCUGUCAUUUGGCCAAACUCAUCCUUCUCUAAACUCAGCCCCUUCGAGUCCUAUCCGAACUCAUUCGGCAACCACGAAUCAUUCACUCACAAAAGAUCCCAACCCGCUUCAGAUGAUGAUCGUGUGGAUAAGAUCCCUGCCAAGAGGCAGAGGAAGAACUUGUAUAGAGGUAUCAGGCAACGCCCCUGGGGCAAAUGGGCCGCUGAGAUUCGCGAUCCAAGGAAAGGAGUACGCGUUUGGCUAGGCACCUUCAACACCGCCGAAGAAGCUGCUCGAGCCUACGAUAGGGAGGCCCGCAAAAUUCGCGGCAAGAAAGCCAAGGUCAAUUUCCCCAAUGAAGAUGACUAUCUCACUUCCCAAAAUCACCUUAAUCCGCCUCCUCAUGGGAAUCCCAAUCCCUCUCUGUAUCAACCCCUCACUUGUAAUUUCAGCAAUCCCCCAAAAAAUUAUGAAUUUGGGUUCGGUCGUGAUUUAAACCAUAUUGGAUCCUACGCUUCAAAUGGAAUAAAUACUGAACCUCUUUUCGUUUCUGGCGAGGAGAAUUCUGGAUCUGGUUCAGGGGAGGAAGCCUACCCAAUAAUUGGGCUAAUGAGCUGCAACCAGAAAGUAAGCAACAAUAAUUACGUAAGUGAAGUGAAAGUGAAACAGGAAGAGGAGAAAAUGGAGGUAGAGAAGGUGAACAAUGGGAAGGUAGUGGUAGUGGACGAGAAAUCUCAGCAGCAGGAGAGCGAAGUGCAGAAGCUCUCGGAAGAGCUAAUGGCUUAUGAGAAUUACAUGAAAUUCUAUCAGAUUCCUUAUCUGGAUGGACAAUCAGCGGCACCGAAUACCACUCAGGAAAGCGUGGUUGGGAAUCUCUGGAACUUCGAUGACGAUGGUGUCGCUGCUCCGGUUACCUCUGCGGCUCUGUAGCGGUGGAGGCGACGGCAAUUGUUUUUGUUAUUUGGUUAAUUUCUAGUAUUAGGGAGGGAUGGGGCCUGUAAAUUACGGGGAAAUCAUGAUUUUUGCUUUUAAUUGUUCACUUAUUUGAUGCGCUGGAUCGUGUUUUGUAUGCUUAUGCCUAAAUUUCAUUUUAUGUUGGAAAUGUAAAUUUUUAUGUUUAAAUAUUAAAGGAAUUGUACCGAGUUUUCUUUGUCAUAUCCAUUUUGCUGCAGUCAUCCUUGUUAUCAUUUUUCCUUAUGCUUGAUUGUUGAAGUUCUU